UCAGAGAUUGGCAUCAUUGUGGCUCAGAAAUGCUUUUGAGCCACCAGAUGGAGUCAGGCUAUGGAUUGGAUCCAUUCAAGUCUGUGUUAUGUUUCUUUUAUUGCCUUAUUAGUUGCUUUUGUUUGAGUCGAUUUGGUUGUGAUUUUGUUAUUUUGGAGUCGUUUUAGUUGUUGAGUCAAAUAAUUGGAUCAAUUGAUCAAUGUAAGACCUAAUUAUAAAGGUCCUAUUUUGAGUGUGAUCAAUUGGUUUAAUGGUCUAAUAUUAGUAAGGUUUAAUUUGGUAUGUAAUCAAUUAAUUGACUUAGUCAAUUAAUUAAAGGGUCCAAGUUUGGUUAGUUGUUAAUUGUUUAACUUGGUCAAUUCAUGAUAUAAUUCAUGAUAUAAUGCUUAUAUAAAGACCACCCCGCUCAUAAAUUAGGGUAUGGAAUGAUUGAAUAAAAUUCUAGCCUCCUUCUUCUUCUUCUUCCUCCUCUCCUUCUCUCCUCCUCUUUUCAUUUUCCUGCGUUUCUAUAACCUCUUCUUCCUGCAUUUUUAUAACCUCUUUGUCCUCCUCCUCAAGCCCGGCAGCACUCCCCAUGAGUCUUCCUCCUCCGCUGGUCUCUCUGUCAUCUGUGGCCGGAUCCAAAGGAGUCGCUCCGCCCACGACUGCGUGUUGUCGGUUGCUCCGCAAUUGCCUCGCUGUCACCAUCCCUGGCUGCUCCUGCCCUGCCAUCGCCGAGCUCCGUCGCCCGAGCCGCGCUGCCCGAGCUUCCGCCGCCCGCAACUCUCACAUUGCCCUUUGCACCUUCUCUUCCUUUUGCCACACCCCAUAUCGGUUGAGCGCUGCCGCCCAGCCGCCUCCACCACCGCCCCGCCGCCUCCACCUCUGC
rnacentral:lncRNA from 1 species